rnacentral:rRNA from 1 species
AGUGAACGCUGGCGGUAGGCCUAACACAUGCAAGUCGAACGGCAGCACAGUAAUAGCUUGCUCUUACGGGUGGCGAGUGGCGGACGGUUGCGGAAUACAUCGGAAUCUGCUUUUUCUUGGGGGAGAACGUAGGGAAACUUACGCUAAUACCGCAUACGACCUACGGGGGAAAGCAGGGGAUCUUCCGACCUUGCGCGAUUGUAUGAGCGGAGGUCGGAUUAGCUAGUUGGCGGGGUAAAGGCCCACCAAGGCGACGAUCCGUAGCUGGUCUGAGAGGAUGAUCAGCCACACUGGAACUGAGACACGGUCCAGACUCCUACGGGAGGCAGCAGUGGGGAAUAUUGGACAAUGGGCGAAAGCCUGAUCCAGCCAUGCCGCGUGGGUGAAGAAGGCCUUCGGGUUGUAAAGCACUUUUGUUGGGAAAGAAAAGCAGCAGGUUAAUACCCCGCUGUUCUGACGGUACCCAAAGAAUAAGCACCGGCUAACUUCGUG